CUCCGCACGCUAAGCGCCUGCACACGCAAAGCGCCUCCACACACUCCCUCCCGCGCAUCAACUUCAGACAAGGUCGCCCCAGCACAACAAAGACGAUGCACCUGAGGGCGCUGUACUUGAAAAUGGGACAUCAUGAAUCGAUGUUGGUGCCGGGGACUUUUUGGCAUCUACCUUUUGAUGGAAGAUGGCAGCAUUUUCCCGGCACGUGCUGCCCUCCGGCUACUUCCGACCAACUUCCAAGAAAGACCACAAGUUUGUUUUUUUUUUGUUUUUUUUAAUUUCUCUCGUUUUUGUUUUGAAUUAGAGGCAAGAAAUCAUGUCAUCAUUUGUUUUGGUUAUUGACAGAAACAUUUUAUGUGGUAAAACAUUUUUUUUUGACCUAUCCCAUUUUUGAGUGGCAGAAACAGGCUUCCAUAAAUGCCACAAAAUAUGUUGAGGAGUUGAAACAUGAAUGUUAGCUUCAUGCUAAUUGUUGCGCAUUAUUAUGAUUGCCACUCAGCAGUUGCUUUGACUUUGGCCAAGCUAACUUUCCUUCCAAAUGAUUCUUCAUUCUAUCGUGUAUUUAUUUGCAUCAUGUGUACGACUUUUUUUUUUGUAUUCCAGUCUUUUUAAACCUUGCAGACUUCAACUUUACUGUUCUCGUUGGACCAAAGGUGUUGUAUUUGCUAUUUGAGCUUUUUUUUUUUAUGUCUGCCAGUGGUCACAAGGUGCUCCUUACAGAAUGUAAUGUGUGGCCCAAAAUAAAAGUUGACUGACGCAGGAA